UGGGGAAUUUUCCGCAAUGGGCGAAAGCCUGACGGAGCAAUGCCGCGUGAAGGCAGAAGGCCCACGGGUCAUGAACUUCUUUUCUCGGAGAAGAAAAAAUGACGGUAUCUGAGGAAUA
rnacentral:rRNA from 1 species